rnacentral:lncRNA from 1 species
CCCCACUUUCAUUAAUAUAUGCAUGCAUCUCCAUCCAUACAUGUCUCUUUCUUUUUUUUUUUUUUUUUGUUUUUGUUUUUCUCUGGACUUACUUUUUAAAGAUGUCUAAUGAUCACGACGAUGAUUCUCACUAUAUCACUGUCACUACUGCUUGGUUGCUACCAGCGCAACCUAACUCUUCAAUCUUGGACUUUUCUAAAUUAAUCAUGC